rnacentral:rRNA from 1 species
UUUUAUGGAGAGUUUGAUCCUGGCUCAGAGUGAACGCUGGCGGCGUGCCUAAUACAUGCAAGUCGAACGAUGAAGCUUCUAGCUUGCUAGAAUGCUGAUUAGUGGCGCACGGGUGAGUAACGCAUAGGUCAUGUGCCUCUUAGUUUGGGAUAGCCAUUGGAAACGAUGAUUAAUACCAGAUACUCCCUACGGGGGAAAGAUUUAUCGCUAAGAGAUCAGCCUAUGUCCUAUCAGCUUGUUGGUAAGGUAAUGGCUUACCAAGGCUAUGACGGGUAUCCGGCCUGAGAGGGUGAACGGACACACUGGAACUGAGACACGGUCCAGACUCCUACGGGAGGCAGCAGUAGGGAAUAUUGCUCAAUGGGGGAAACCCUGAAGCAGCAACGCCGCGUGGAGGAUGAAGGUUUUAGGAUUGUAAACUCCUUUUGUUAGAGAAGAUAAUGACGGUAUCUAACGAAUAAGCACCGGCUAACUCCGUGCCAGCAGCCGCGGUAAUACGGAGGGUGCAAGCGUUACUCGGAAUCACUGGGCGUAAAGAGCGCGUAGGCGGGAUAGUCAGUCAGGUGUGAAAUCCUAUGGCUUAACCAUAGAACUGCAUUUGAAACUACUAUUCUAGAGUGUGGGAGAGGUAGGUGGAAUUCUUGGUGUAGGGGUAAAAUCCGUAGAGAUCAAGAGGAAUACUCAUUGCGAAGGCGACCUGCUGGAACAUUACUGACGCUGAUUGCGCGAAAGCGUGGGGAGCAAACAGGAUUAGAUACCCUGGUAGUCCACGCCCUAAACGAUGGAUGCUAGUUGUUGGAGGGCUUAGUCUCUCCAGUAAUGCAGCUAACGCAUUAAGCAUCCCGCCUGGGGAGUACGGUCGCAAGAUUAAAACUCAAAGGAAUAGACGGGGACCCGCACAAGCGGUGGAGCAUGUGGUUUAAUUCGAAGAUACACGAAGAACCUUACCUAGGCUUGACAUUGAGAGAAUCCGCUAGAAAUAGUGGAGUGUCUAGCUUGCUAGACCUUGAAAACAGGUGCUGCACGGCUGUCGUCAGCUCGUGUCGUGAGAUGUUGGGUUAAGUCCCGCAACGAGCGCAACCCCCUUUCUUAGUUGCUAACAGGUUAUGCUGAGAACUCUAAGGAUACUGCCUCCGUAAGGAGGAGGAAGGUGGGGACGACGUCAAGUCAUCAUGGCCCUUACGCCUAGGGCUACACACGUGCUACAAUGGGGUGCACAAAGAGAAGCAAUACUGCGAAGUGGAGCCAAUCUUCAAAACACCUCUCAGUUCGGAUUGUAGGCUGCAACUCGCCUGCAUGAAGCUGGAAUCGCUAGUAAUCGCAAAUCAGCCAUGUUGCGGUGAAUACGUUCCCGGGUCUUGUACUCACCGCCCGUCACACCAUGGGAGUUGUGUUUGCCUUAAGUCAGGAUGCUAAAUUGGCUACUGCCCACGGCACACACAGCGACUGGGGUGAAGUCGUAACAAGGUAACCGUAGGUGAACCUGCGGUUGGAUCACCUCCUUUCUAGA